rnacentral:rRNA from 1 species
UACGAAGGGGGCUAGCGUUGCUCGGAAUCACUGGGCGUAAAGGGUGCGUAGGCGGGUCUUUAAGUCAGGGGUGAAAUCCUGGAGCUCAACUCCAGAACUGCCUUUGAUACUGAGGAUCUUGAGUAUGGGAGAGGUGAGUGGAACUGCGAGUGUAGAGGUGAAAUUCGUAGAUAUUCGCAAGAACACCAGUGGCGAAGGCGGCUCACUGGCCCGGGUACUGACGCUGAGGUGCGAAAGCG